rnacentral:rRNA from 1 species
AUUGAACGCUGGCGGCAGGCCUAACACAUGCAAGUCGAGCGGGGUCUUCGGACCUAGCGGCGGACGGGUGAGUAAUGCGUAGGAAGCUACCCGAUAGAGGGGGAUACCAGUUGGAAACGACUGUUAAUACCGCAUAAUGUCUACGGACCAAAGUGUGGGACCUUCGGGCCACAUGCUAUCGGAUGCGCCUACGUGGGAUUAGCUAGUUGGUGGGGUAAUGGCUCACCAAGGCGACGAUCCCUAGCUGGUUUGAGAGGAUGAUCAGCCACACUGGGACUGAGACACGGUCCAGACUCCUACGGGAGGCAGCUGUGGGGAAUAUUGGACAAUGGGCGCAAGCCUGAUCCAGCCAUGCCGCGUGUGUGAAGAAGGCCUUCGGGUUGUAAAGCACUUUCAGUAGGGAGGAAGAGUGUUGUGUUAAUAGCUCAGCAUUUUGACGUUACCUACAGAAGAAGCACCGGCUAACUCUGUGCCAGCCGCCGCAGUAA